rnacentral:rRNA from 1 species
UUGCAUCGAUGAAGAACGCAGCGAAAUGCGAUAAGUAAUGCGAAUUGCAGAAUUCCCGUGAGUCAUCGAAUCUUUGAACGCACAUUGCGCCCUUUGGUAUUCCAAAGGGCAUGCCUGUCCGAGCGUCAUUAUCACCCCUCAAGCCCCGUGCUUGGUGUUGGACGGAUUUUGGUCGUGUGAUAUCGACCCCUCCUAAAGACAAUGACGGCGGCCUGCGGAUCCCCCGGUACACUGAGCUUUUAACUGAGCACGUAUCGGACAAGGGCGCCCAGGACACGGUCCUUCUCCUUCAACCAGGAAAUUUCUUUCAAGGUUGACCUCGGAUCAGGUAGGAAUACGCGCUGAACUUAAGCAUAUCAAUAAGCGGAGGAA